UGGGGAAUAUUGCACAAUGGGCGCAAGCCUGAUGCAGCCAUGCCGCGUGUAUGAAGAAGGCCUUCGGGUUGUAAAGUACUUUCAGCGGGGAGGAAGGGGGUAAAGUUAAUACCUGUGCUCAUUGACGGUACCGGCAGAAGAAGCACCGGCUAACUCCGUGCCAGCAGCCGCGGUAAUACGGAGGGUGCGAGCGUUAAUCGGAAUUACUGGGCGUAAAGCGUACGCAGGCGGUUUGUUAAGUCAGAUGUGAAAUCCCCGGGCUCAACCUGGGAAGUGCCUCAGAUACUGGCAAGCUUGAGUGCCGGAGAGGGGGGUAGAAUUCCGGGUGUAGCGGUGAAAUGCGGUGUUAUAUGGAGGAAGACCGGUGGCGAAGGCGGGCCCCUGGGCCGAAACUGACGCUCAGGUGCGAAAGCGUGGGGAGCAAACAGG
rnacentral:rRNA from 1 species